GAUUUUCCUUCUUCACACGUGAAACACCACUUUAAAUCAUUUUGAGCUUUGUUCAUUUUUCUUCGGCCACCCAUGUUCUUGACAUUUUCAGAUAUGCUUUCUCCUUCAUGCUUAACUUAAAGUUCUUCUUCAUCAACAAAAUUGUUCAAUAUUAUUUCAUUUUCUUUUGAAGUUUGGAGAUUGCAGCUUAGUGUGGUUCAUAGAUCUGGAUUCAUUAAAUCUCUUGGUUGAUUUCUGAAAUCUUUCAACUUAAAGGUUUUAUUAUGCUAUAUGGUUGUUGAAUACUAGUGUUGUUGGCCAAUAAAAGAGGCUGAGAAACCAUAACUGAAAGAAACUUUAUUUUUUUUAUAGAUAAAUUUUGGUCAAUAAAAGAGGCUAAGAGACCAACACUGGUUGCACGACAGUCAGAAAUGUUGGUCUGCAGUCGCGCACGUUCGUGCAUAAUGUUGGAACGACCGUGCAUAAAUUCAUCGGAAGAGAAUUUAUUUUUGUUUAUUUUCAUGCACACGGUCGUGCUCUUAAAUGCCACGGUCGUGCGUGACAUCCUGGAAGUGAUUGUGUUUGGUUUCUACUAGUUUUGUUAUGUAAUUAUGCAUGUCUUUGGUUCCUGCAAUUUUGUUGAUAAAAAGGAAAUGUGGGUUUCGGUGAAUAUGUCUUGUCCGAUUUCCUGCAUCCCUUAGUGAAAUUUUGAAAAGAGGAAAGAAAUGAAGUUAGAUGUUAUAAUUUGAUUGACAUGUAUAGAACGAUUAUAGCAUAUUGAAAGAAAGAAAGAAAAAAUAUCCAAGUUUGUGUUGUCUGUGUUACUGCCUUGUUUUGUUUUCUGAGUUUGUUUUGCGAGUGCUUGUGAUUAAUUCAAUAUAUGUAUGUAUUAUGAACUGGAAAAUGGAUAUUCAUGAAAUCCUAGAAAUUUUCAUAAUUCCAAAUUUAAGCAACAUAGUUGGGGAAAGCAACAUUACUGGGGGAAGUUCAGAGGACUUGGGCAAUAACUAUUGUUCGGAGGGUGUUCUAUGUUCCUCGGAUGAAGAUGUCGUCUACACUUCGUUGUAUGGGUGCAACUUUGAUGAUGAAACGACGGUUGAUUAUUAUUAUUAUUAGGUGAAGGCUAGGACGAGGGGCAAGAACCAUAAAAAUCUGCGAUUGUGCAAGAACCAUAAAAAUCAAGAUUUUAAUCGUGUUUUUUGUGCAAGAACCAUAAAAUAAAUUAUAUGUGAUUGGCUUGUGGGUUUGCGAAAUUAAGUAUGUGCUUCUUCUUGCCUUUGAAAGGUGCUGCAUGUGGAACUGAUUUGGUUUUGUUUUUUGGGCACUGGUACGCUACUGUGAAUGCCUUCUAAUGGCAGGUCUGUGAGCAGGAUGGCUGCUUUGUUUUGGGUGUACUUCUGUUGGGUAGUUUUGUUAUGCUUCCAUUUCAUUUUCUGCUGCUGUUUUGCUUGGCCCAGGACCAUGUGCUGUUAUGAAAUUAUGAAUCGAUGGUUAUCUA